rnacentral:rRNA from 1 species
UACGGGGGGGAGCAAGCGUUGUUCGGAUUUACUGGGCGUAAAGAGCUCGUAGGCGGUUUGUCGCGUCUGCUGUGAAAACUCGGGGCUUAACCCCGGGCCUGCAGUGGGUACGGGCAGACUAGAGUGCGGUAGGGGAGACUGGAAUUCCUGGUGUAGCGGUGAAAUGCGCAGAUAUCAGGAGGAACACCGGUGGCGAAGGCGGGUCUCUGGGCCGUAACUGACGCUGAGGAGCGAAAGCGUGGGGAGCGAACAGG